AAAUAAAUAAAAUCUUUACAAAAUUUUUUAAAUUAUGAAUCAGGGCAGAUUUGGCAUUUGUACUGUCACUCAUUCAUGAAAUAUACAUUCAACCAAUAUUUAUUGUGUGAGGCAUUGUUCUAAACAAGAGCAGUACUGCAGUAAGAAAACUUAAGUUCCCAAUGCCACUGGCCUGAUUUCUAGUGGAAGGGCAGACAGAAAAAUAGAUAUAUGUCAGAUAACUAUAGGUACUAUUAAGAAAAUAAAAGUAGAUAAGGAGAAAAGAGUACCAGAGGGUAAAAUAUUAGUUAGAAUGGUCAGGGAAGUCAUCUUUAAAGGGGUGGGGUCUGAACAGAGGUUUAAAUGAAGUGCAAGGGAAGGCAUGCAAAGAGCUGGUGGAAGAGCUUUUCAGAAAGAAGGACAGGCAAGUACAGAGGCCCUGUUGUGGGAAUGAGCUCAACAUAUUUGAAGGACCUUCAGGAAGCUAGAUGGCUUUCUGUAGUAGCUGAGAUGAAAGGUCUUAAGAUAGAGUCAAUCCAGAGUAGCCAUUGUGGGCCAUAUGGGGGAGGCCCUCAUUAGGAUGUUAGUUAGAAAGACAGGAAUGGAGCACACACAGGAAUGAGAGAUGCCAGGAAUGUAAAACUACGUGGCAUUUGAAUGAGAGAUGAGCUUUGGCUGUCUCAGGUAAUGCUCCUUGCCAUUUCCAAUCCCUGUCUAUGUCUGUCCUGGAAACAAAUACCCUUUUCCUCACAGUAUCCUCAUGGGUAUCUACUUGCCACCCAGAUGUCCUAGAUAGAACAGCAUAUAACAUCUCAUUUGAUUAUUACUUAAUUUGAAAGACUGAUAAUUAUUAUCCCAUUUUGAAGGUGAAGAGGCUGAGGUACUAAUAAGUUAAAUGAUUUAGCCCAGUUCUCAAAACAAGUUUGUAACAGGGUGUAAGCUAGACCCUAUACCUUCUGACUUCACACUAUGCGUCUGUACAGUGGGCAAAUUAAGUUAAUAUGCUCUUUCAUCUUAGAUGUAGCUUGUCUUAAAAGAUAAGACUUCAUAGAACUAAAUUCCUUUUGCUCUCAAAGGUCCGUCUGCAAACAGAAGGGGAACGAUCUUAUUACAGAAGGGAAGAAGAAGCAUCAGAUGGCCAAAGGAUCAUUUAAUCAUUGAUACCUGCAAACUGACGCUUUGAGUCUUCAUAAUGCUAGGGUUCUCUUUGGAAAUUCCCACCUUGGCCAGCAGAGCUCCUGAGAUUCAACAGAAGUACCUCAAACUCACUGCAACCAAAAUUUUCAUUGUUCCCAAAAAGCUAGCCAAGGAAAACUUCAUGACUACAUUAGAACUUGAAGUAAGGAUAUUUGUGGCAGAAGAAUUCCUGUACAUCCAACCCAGACCUACCUUCUACCUUUUCAUCAGGAGGCAUUAGCUUAGGUCAGGCCAUCUCUUCACAGCCCAAAGUGGGGAAAUACUCAAGUAUGAUUAUUUGUUCUCACACCAGUCUCUUGCCAGACUGCCAUUUUUACUCCUUUCCAUGUAUCAAAAUCUGGCUGAGCCUUCAGGGUUCAUCUUCAGUCCCUGUGACUCCUCUGCUCCAGUGGUCUCAACCUGGGCUGCAUAGUAGAAUCUCCUGGAAGAUCUAAAAGAAAAAAAAUCCAAUGUCCAGAUCCCAAACAUGUUUAUUCAGUUGGUCUAAAAUGGAGCAUGAGCAUUUUUAAAGAGAUCUUCAGGUGAUUCUAAUGUGCAGCAAGAUUUGAGGACUAUUUUUACAUUUAAUUCCAUUCAACUUGAAUUACAUUUCCUUUUGUAGUUUAAUUAUAUUUUCCAUAUUUCCAUGUGUAAAUUUCUCAGCUUAGAGUUAAAAAGCUUCUUGUUCCUCCAACUGUGGAUCCUCAUUUGCUCAUCCAGUCAAGAAGAGCUUUUUAUCUUUAAAAUAGAAAACUGACUCUGCUUGUCUUAAGCUUAUGUAUAACGAGGGAAAGUGUCACUUUGGGGGGCAUGGGGCUGAGAACAUCCUUUACUGUUUAACAACCAUUGUGUACAAAGAAUAGCAAAGCCUUACUUCCUGGCAGAAUAAGAGUUAACUGUGUCAUGGGACUUGAGGGGUUCUUGGCAGAACAUUUGAUUUAAAUAUCUGUUUUACUCUUGCUGCCACAUUAGCAGGACUUCUGUCAUUAGAGAUUCAUGUAUUUGGAUUAAGAUUUCACCUCUUUAGGAGCUUUUCAUUAGUCAUAAAUAAUCCUAGAAGGAUUCAUUAAGACCUUUGUGUGAGAGCUCACCGGGUCACUGUUGCUUGCAAUAAGAGGAGGCAUGUACAAUUACCAUUUGUAAUAGACUUUGUCUCUUUCUCUAUGCUCUCCAUAAAGGCAGAGCUGUGCUUGUAUUAACUAUUAUGUCCCCAGCACCUAACUCAGUGUCUGGACAAAGCAGAUUAUAGUAAAUGCCUUUGAAUGAAUGAAUGAUGAAUAAAAGAAUGAAUGAUUACACGAGCAAAUGGAUAGCCACAAUUAGUUAUGAAUCCUGAAAGAAUAGAAAGAGAUAGAAAAAAAAAAAAGAAUUGUUGGAGGAAAAACAUUACCAUGUCACAGUUGUCCUGGAGUUUGAAGCUUUGCACAACCUUAUCUCAUAAAGUAUGUUAAAGACAAUUCCCUAAUAGUUCCAUUUUGAGGCUGUUGACUUUUUUUGCUGGGAUG